CCAUGGUGGUAGUGAGACAAUUAGAAUGGCUUUAUAACCAGCUGAAGGUACCGACUGUUUCCUGGAUACCAUACAUCCCAAUCAAUCUCAGCUCUGACAGACCUUGGAGCAGAGCCAGGUCCAGUGACAGCUAUUGGUGCCAUUUCAUGUAUUUUUUUUCUUUCUUCAGCCCUCUAAGGUUAGCAUUCCCACGUGGGCUUGAAGCUGCAGUUCAAGGCUCUUUGGGUUUACCUGAUCCAUGCACAGAGGAGCCUCCAGCAGCCUCCACUCCACCGGCAACCAGUUACCUGUGGGAGUUCCUCAGUGACCACAAAGAACAGCUUGAAAAAUACCUUGUUUCCUAAAAACAAGACAUCUAGCAGUGUAGAUGGAAAGUUAUGGGUUUGUUUAAAGGCUCUGUUUGAAGAUACUUUUUUCCACAACUCCUCCUUGACACCAGUAGGUCUUCCUGGCUGCUCAUGUUGGAUGAUUUAAUUUCAAAAUCUGUUUAGAGCUUAUGUUCUAACAAAGGACAAUAAUUACCCAAAUAACAAUGAAUUUAACCAGCCACUCAAGGAGUAGGGAUGAUUUACAGCUUUCAGAGGAGCUGGUGCUCGCUUGUCUUUUGUCUUCCUACUUAGUGCCUCUCUAAUACUCUUUGGACACAAUGACUUUCUGAACUAUUUUUUUUUCUUUUUUCUUUUUUUUUUUGUUCUGAAAUAGAAUGCAGACCCCCCCUUCCACCAACUAAUUUGCUGCAUACAAAAGGAGAUUUAAUAAUCCUCUAAAUGACUAUAAAGUACAAACCUACCAGAUGGCAAGUUUAGAUGCUCAAGGGGGAUACAGACUGCUUUUCUUGGAGGAGCAUUUGAAUGUGGCUUUGAAAGAGAGAGUCCAUUGAUGUAUUAAUCUUUUCCUUAGCGGAGUGCUGUGAUAUAACUCAGAAGAGGUGCAAGAAGGAAGAAAUGGAUCUUACGGCCCAACAGAGGAAACAAAUGGAAGCAUUUUACUGAUUUCUCAGGUCUCUUUGAGGAACAUGUUAACUACAACCUUGAGCAUCUCUGCAGAAAUUCUGAGCAGUAUCAUUUGCAUCCCAAUCAUAAUGUUACAAACGUGAAGAAAGGGAAGAUUUAAGAAAAUUACUGGCAUCCAAAACUACUUCUCUGCAUUUAAACCACGGAUGUUGUUUACAUAUAUUCAGAGCUCUCCAGGAAGAAACUGUUCUGCUUCGUUUUCUUUUAGUUCUUACCUAUGCCAGAAGUCAACUUGCUAACAAGAUUAAUUGAUAAAAAGGACUUCUUUAAGAACAAAUGUUUUGAAUCUCAGUUUGUUUCCAAGUCUUUGGCUGAAUAAUUCAUCUGACAC
rnacentral:lncRNA from 1 species